rnacentral:rRNA from 1 species
AAUCAACGCUGGCGGCGUGCCUCAGACAUGCAAGUCGAAACGCGAAAUUUCCCUUCGGGGAGAAAGUAGAGUGGCGCACGGGUGAGUAACACGUAGGUAAUUUGCCUUUGGGUGGGGAAUAACUCAGGGAAACUUGAGCUAAUACCGCAUAAUGCAGCGGCUCGACAUCGAGACAGUUGUUAAAGCGGGGGAUUGGAGCAAUCCGACCUCGCGCCUAAAGAGAAGCCUGCGGCAGAUUAGCUAGUUGGUAAGGUAAUGGCUUACCAAGGCGACGAUCUGUAACCGGCCUGAGAGGGCGGUCGGUCACACUGACACUGACAUACGGGCCAGACUCCUACGGGAGGCAGCAGUCGGGAAUUUUGGGCAAUGGGCGCAAGCCUGACCCAGCAACGCCGCGUGAAGGAUGAAAUUUUUCGGAAUGUAAACUUCGCAAGAACAGGAA